CGCCCUUUCAGUGCAAGUCUUAGCUCGAGUGUGCCUCAGCUUGAUUGACUCGGGCGAUUGUUGGAGUUUCCAAGGUAGCGGCUGGACAUUCAUGCGUCCAAAGUUCACCUCUAUCUUUCUACAGUAGUUAUGCCAUUAUUAGUAUUUAGAGACAGAUAUUAUUCCUUUAUGGUUAUUUUUCUGAUGUAUUUGACUCUUAGAUUGUAUUAGUAGUUCUUACACUAUUGACACCUGGUUUUGGGCAU
rnacentral:lncRNA from 1 species